GAACCGUGAAUAACGGAGUGAAAUAGAUCCUGAAACCAUACGCUUACAAGCGGUCGGAGUCCUAUAUGGAUGACGGCGUGCCUUUUGCAUAAUGAGCCUACGAGUUAACGUUGCCAGCGAGGUUAAGCCUUUAAGAGGUGGAGCCGUAGCGAAAGCGAGUCUGAAUAGGGCGAGCUUCAUCCUUCGGGGAUGAAAGCGCACUUGUGCGUUUAGUUGGUAGUGUUAGACGCGAAACCGUGUGAUCUACCCUUGGGCAGGUUGAAGCUGUGGUAACACAUAGUGGAGGACCGAACCCGUUGACGUUGAAAAGUCUUGGGAUGACCUGAGGGUAGGGG
rnacentral:rRNA from 1 species